rnacentral:rRNA from 1 species
UACGGAGGGGGCUAGCGUUGUUCGGAAUUACUGGGCGUAAAGCGCACGUAGGCGGACGAGAAAGUCAGAGGUGAAAUCCCAGGGCUCAACCUUGGAACUGCCUUUGAAACUCCUUGUCUUGAGGUCGAGAGAGGUGAGUGGAAUUCCGAGUGUAGAGGUGAAAUUCGUAGAUAUUCGGAGGAACACCAGUGGCGAAGGCGGCUCACUGGCUCGAUACUGACGCUGAGGUGCGAAAGCGUGGGGAGCAAACAGG